rnacentral:rRNA from 1 species
AUAAACGCUGGCGGCGUGCCUAAUACAUGCAAGUCGAGCGAACAGACGAGGAGCUUGCUCCUCUGAUGUUAGCGGCGGACGGGUGAGUAACACGUGGAUAACCUACCUAUAAGACUGGGAUAACUUCGGGAAACCGGAGCUAAUACCGGAUAACAUGUUGAACCGCAUGGUUCAACAGUGAAAGACGGUCUUGCUGUCACUUAUAGAUGGAUCCGCGCCGCAUUAGCUAGUUGGUAAGGUAACGGCUUACCAAGGCAACGAUGCGUAGCCGACCUGAGAGGGUGAUCGGCCACACUGGAACUGAGACACGGUCCAGACUCCUACGGGAGGCAGCAGUAGGGAAUCUUCCGCAAAGGGCGAAAGCCUGACGGAGCAACGCCGCGUGAGUGAAGAAGGUCUUCGGAUCGUAAAACUCUGUUAUUAGGGAAGAACAAAUGUGUAAGUAACUAUGCACGUCUUGACGGUACCUAAUCAGAAAGCCACGGCUAACUACGUG